rfam:TPA: Bos taurus chromosome 29, whole genome shotgun sequence.
UCCCUGGUGGCUCAGAUGGUAAAGAAUCUGCCUGCAAUGCAGGAGACCCAGGUUCAAUCCCUGGGUCUGGAA